GGCGAGUUUCUAAACCCAAGGAAGCUCCCAUGAACUCUGUGAGGUUCCCCUAGAUCCAGCAAGAGCCCAACGGGCUGACAGCUGCUCUCACCAGCGGCAGGGAUUUAUGUGCCACAUUUCAAAGGACAUGCAUUUUAAGGAUUUCUUGCUGUGUGAGAAACCAUUGGGGCAAAAUGGAGUAGAAGAAAAGUACACCUGAUUGUAAUUAAUGCUGACAGUAAUCUCCAGCUUUCAUUCUGAAAACAGCCAGAUGGGAAAGUUGGAACUGUUAAUAAUAGAAAACGUUGCCAUCCGCAGUUCCUGGAGUCAUAACUCUUUAAAGGCUGUUUGGAUUCCAGAUCUCUACAGACCAGCCCAAGCCAGAUGCUCCUCAGACUCUGCACUGCCAUGGGCCAUGAUAAAAUCUUACAAGGAGCCAUAACUGAAGAAUAGUAGAGCAGAUCUGAUUGAAAUGGGGGCCAGAUGCCCAAGACCUCUCGCUGCAGAGGGCUUCUUUCUGAGCCACGGAGUGAUCACAGGGGGUCCCCUGAAGCGCUGGAGCCAGGCAGAAGCAUUCUGGAAUUGGUGGACUUACUUUGAAAACGAGGAGAGUGAAACAGAUUUGCCAAGGAGAAAGGAAAAGCCGAGUCAGAGGCUGCCUUCUGCCUCGGAUCUGGCUGGUCUGGCUGACAGAAGGGAGCAAGCCCACCACCCUGAGGCAGGAGGGCAGGGCCCGUGGUACAAAUGUGCUGAGCAAGUUGUGAUGAGAAAUGAACACAAGUGUAACAAACAGGAAGGAUUUUAAAGAUUUCUCUACCAUGCAGACUCUGUUAACCGUUGCCAUCAAUCAACCCAGAGAGCAGAGAUACACGGCCUUUUGUCCACAGCUGCAAUUCCCAGAAUGUGUUCCUCAGAAUCCUGAUCAUGUGUGAUGGCCCUUGAAAACUGUUCCACACUGAAAUAAAUUUUAGAAAUGCUGCGGAGUUUUUCAUUCUUCUCCUAAAGAUGAGCAGGGCAUAUUCGCUUAUGAACUGCCCUGAGAAGUCCUGUAGAAAAGAAAUAUUUCCCCAAAACUUAUUUGGUCUCGGGACACUUUUCCCUUUUGCAAGCACUUGUUAAUGUUUCACAGAACGACUGUUCCCCAGGACACUGUUGGGAAGCACUGGUAUGGGAAGAUGAUGUCAUAGCUCAUCUAGCUAUGAUGGUUUAAGAAGGUACCUUGGAAAGGGAAGUCACUCUCUACUUGGUAUGUCAUUCUCCACAGGCCUGGUCAAAUGUGGCCCAGUAGAGGGCAAGGUGCUGGGAAGUAGGAGGCUGGGAGGAUGCACUCGUAUUUUAGGAUGGGAAGAAGGACCAGGAGAGAGCUUCCUAGAGUCUUCUCUCCCAGAAGCAGCAGCCAUAAGGUCAUCUUUCUCUGUGAGG
rnacentral:lncRNA from 1 species